AAACCCGGGACCACGACAACAUGGCAACCGCCUUCCGUGCCGAAGACAUCAGUGCACCACGUGACGACCCUUCCUGCCGCGCCUGCGCGGUGACCCUGAGAAGAAGCGGAAGCGACCGGAGAUCGAUUGUUUUCUUGAAGGACAAAUAAUAAAGAAAUAAUCGUAAAGCUGUAGAAGUAAAUGAUAUUACUGAUCAGAGCUCGGCCAAUGCACAGAAGAGUAAUCGCAAUCCAGUGAUCACACUGUGAAGACCUAAAGAAUGUGAAGUGGAGCUGUUGUCUGGCCCAGCAUUGUCCUGGGUUUCCCGUCAGGACCAGUCACUGCUAGAGGAUGAACGUGUCUCAGCGGGCUGCGGUGUCCUUCACUGAUGUGGCCGCUUCCUUCUCAGAGGAGGAGUGGGGCGUCCUGAAGGAGUGGCAGCGUACACUUUACGGGAACGUGAUGCUGGAGAUUCACGGCGUGCUGCGUGGUCUAGGAUAUCGUAUCGAGAACUCUGAGGUCCUGUUCCGAAUUAUCAGCAAGGAGGAGACCAGCCUGGAAGACGUUGCAGGACGCGGACCUGAUAUCGUGUUGCGGAUAAAUUACCAGGGGCUGGGAGAGACAUGUGAUGAGAUGGAGGAGUCUGAGCGAAGGGUCAUAAAGACUGAGACAGAUUUACUGGCCAAGAUUAAGCAGGAGAAAGACGUAGAUGACACCAGGGUCCCCAUCAUGUCCUUAGAGCCGAAUGGGAAAAGUUACAGCACCCCAGGUCUUGUGCUUGACUCGCUUUAUCCUAUGACUGUAAAGAAUGAGGCAGAAGAUGGCGGUAACCCCAAUCUGACAGAAACCAACAGUGAGUGGACAGUGAGUAAGACCAGACUUCGGUGUUGUAGCUGGACCACCGGAGACCCCGUACCGGAGCAGACUGGCAGGGAUCGGACUCACAGGAGGAAAGGUGUCGCCCAGCAGAUGAAGUCUGUGUCCGCAUUACAUGAUACCGAACCCAAAGAGAACGAGGCGCCACCACACCAACGCUUCUUCCCCGAGUGUGAGGCCAGCUUCACAGGUAUAAAGCUUCCAGUGCAGAAGGAGAUCUAUCCCAUCAGCUUCCAGCAGCAGGGGCAGACGCUCGUAAUCUGCAGCGAAUGCGGAAAGACCUUCUGCAACAACUCCAGCUUCCAGGUGCACAUGAGGACCCACACGGGGGAAAGACCCUACAAGUGCACCCACUGUGACAAAACCUUCAUCCGCGGCUCCCACCUCAAGAUCCACCUACGGACACACACGGGAGAGCGGCCCUACAAGUGUCCCGAGUGUGACAAGAGCUUCCGGGACAACUCCUGCUUCGCUCGGCACCAGAGAAUCCACACUGGGGAGAAACCAUAUCUGUGUGUUACGUGCGGGAAGUAUUUCCGGAAAAAGUCCAACCUGAAGGAUCAUCAAAGGACGCACACCGGGGAGCGUCCGUACAAGUGCAAGUACUGUGACAAGACCUUCCACCAGAGGUCCAACCACCGAGUCCAUGAGAAGAACCACCACAGAGACAGCUGAGCACAAGAGAACUGUCCUUCAGUGAGUGAAAACAUGGGAGUGGCUGUGCAAGUACUGGGACUAUUCCUUCUGCUGGAGUCCAACCACAGCCGACUGCGGGGUACCAUAGGACUGUCCCUAGUGGUGUGCACAUAGAAGAGAAGCCAUAUGAGUGCAGGUACUGCAACCUUCCACCAGAGUCCAUGAGAAGGACCAUCACAGAGAUAGCUGAGUGCAGCAGGUCUGUCCUUUGGACACAAGGGAGUGGCCGUGCAAGUACUGGGACAAGUCCUUCUGCUAGAGGUCCAACCACAGCCGACAGCGGAGUACCGUAGGACUGUCCCUAGUGGUGUGCACAUAGAAGAGAAGCCAUAUGAGCGCAAGUACCUGCGACCUUCCACCAGAGGUCCAACCACAGAGUCCACGAGAAGGACCAUCACAGAGAUAGCUGAGUGCAGCAGGUCUGUCCUUUGAAGAGUACACACGGGAGUGGCCGUACUGGGGCAAGUCCUUAUUCUAGAGGUCCUACCACAGGGUUCAUGAUAAGAACCACCACAGAGACUAGACCUUCUGCUACAGGUCUCACCACAGCUGACAGUGGAGUAGAACUUAGGGGAGUGUACAUAGAAGAGCAGCCAUACAAGCUUUCUAUCUUUCACUAGAGGUCCAUGAGAAGGACCACCAUGGAGACAGCUGAGCAUGUUAGGACCAUCCCUAAGGAAGUGCACACAUGGGAGCAGCCGUACAAGUUCUGGGACAAGACCUUCCACCAGAAGUCCAACCACAGAGUUCAUAAGAACCAGCAGUGCGCACACAGUUACUUCCUUUGUCUUGCCAAUCACGCCAAAGCAUAUACUCAUCUCUAUUCUAUGACACAGUGCUGAUAAAAGUGCACUGGACUAAACUGUCUUGCACUGUGCUGUGACUUACACCAGUGUUUCCUAACCAGGGUGCCUUCAGCUGGUGCAAAGCUACAACUCCCAGCAUGCCCGGACAGCCAUGGCCUGUCCGGGAAUGCUGUGAGUUGUAGCUUUGCAACAGCUGGAGGCACGCUGGUUGCUAAACGCUGACUUACACAGUACAGUACUAUAGAGGUCACGUGGAGGAAUAAGGGUUAUUGAUGCAGUAGGUUUAUAGGGUGCUAUGUGAGAAGAAAGGAAAGAAACAGCCUGAGCGCAGCAAGGAAAGAGUUACACCAACUGCUGCUGCUACAGGGAGGUCACACUGCAGAACUAUGGACAUACAAGAGUGGGUACACAAGGGGGACAGCUGCCCUGGGUUUGAUGGGUGGUCAGAAAUAAGAGGAAAGCCUUGAUAUAUAUAAGAGGAAAGCCUUGAGGAACUUUUUGUUUUCCAUCCUGAUCUUUAGCUGUAAGUAGAAACCGAUUUUACAUAAAAACAGGCAUGGGGCAGCAGAAAAGGGAGACGCCUAGUGGUGGGAAAUUGUGUGAAACCACAGUGACUAUUCAAGAUGUAAGGAGUGAGACAGUAUAGAGUGUCCGGCAUCCGAUACCCCCUCCCUCCCCCCCCUCCCCCUGAAUCCAUAUUUAUCUAAAGUUCAUAUCUCCAAGAAAAUGUACAAAUACACUGUAACAAAGUGUAAGAAGAAAUGCAAAAUAAAAAUAUAUACUUGGUAAAUAGGUGACAUCCUCCUAUGUGUAAUAACCUGCUGAACAAUACUCAAAUGUCCUGAACAAUUCUCUGAAGUCCUUAACAAGUAUUGAUCUACAGUUUGCUAUGGGUGCUCAGCUUUAUCUCUGUGUAUAUACUUCCUAUGUGAUUCAAUGUUCUAUCUGCCUUAUGUUCUCCUCUUUAACUACAGUCUGUGUAAACUGCCCUACAUGUAUACUCUUCUCUCUAUCUACAGCCUGUGUGAGCUGUCCUACUUGUAUGCUCUCCUCUCUAUCUACAGCCUGUGUUCUGCCCUCCAUAUAUACUCUCCUCCCAAUCUACAGCCUGUGUGAGCUGUCCUCCAUGUAUGUUCUCUCUAUAUACAGCCUGUGUACCCUGUCCUCCAUGUAUGCUCUCCUCCCUAUAGCCUGUGUGAGCUGUCCUCCAUGUAUGCUCUCCUCCCUAUAUACAACUUGUGUGAGCUGUCCUCCUUGUAUACUCUGCUUACUAUCUACAGCCAAUAUGAGCUGUCCUAUGUGUGUGCUCUCCUUAUCUACAGCCUGUGUGAGCUGCCCUCCAUGUAUACUCUCCUCCAUAUCUCCAUCUUGUGUGAGCUGUCAUCCAUGUAUGCUCCCCUCCCUAUCUACAGCCUGUUUGAGCUGCUUUACAUGUAUGCUUUCCUCUCUAUCUACAGCCUGUGUAAGCUGCCCUCCAUGUAUUCUCAUUAUAUAUAUAGCCUGUGUGAGCUGUCCUCCAUGUAUGCUCUCCUCCCUAUAUACAGCCUAUGUGAGAUGCCCUCCGUGUAUGUUCCCCUCCCUAUCUACAGCCUGUGUGAGCUGUCCUCCAUGUAUGUUCUCUCUAUAUACAGCCUGUGUAACCUGUCCUCCAUGUAUGCUCUCCUCCCUAUAGCCUGUGUGAGCUGUCCUCCAUGUAUGCUCUCCUCCCUAUAUACAACUUGUGUGAGCUGUCCUCCUUGUAUACUCUGCUUACUAUCUACAGCCUAUAUGAGCUGUCCUAUGUGUGUGCUCUCCUUAUCUACAGCUUGUGUGAGCUGCCCUCCAUGUAUACUCUCCUCCAUAUCUCCAUCUUGUGUGAGCUGUCAUCCAUGUAUGCUCCCCUCCCUAUCUACAGCCUGUUUGAGCUGCUUUACAUGUAUGCUUUCCUCUCUAUCUACAGCCUGUGUAAGCUGCCCUCCAUGUAUUCUCAUUAUAUAUAGCCUGUGUGAGCUGUCCUCCAUGUAUGCUCUCCUCCCUAUAUACAGCCUGUGUGAGAUGCCCUCCGUGUAUGUUCCCCUCCCUAUCUACAGCCUGUGUGAGCCCCCCUCCCAUGUAUACUCUGCUUACUAUGUUUGCUCUCCUUAUCUACAGCUUGUGUGAGCAGCCCCCAUUAAUGCUCUCCUCUCUAUCUACAGCCUGUGUGAGCUGUCCUCCAUGUAUGUUCUCUCUAUCUACAGCCUGUGUUAGCUGCCCUCCAUGUAUGCUCUCCUCUCUAUCUCCAGCCUGUAUGAGCUGCCCUCCACCUCCCUAUCUAGAGCCUCUAUGAGCUGCCCUCCAUGUAUGCUUACCUCUCUAUCUACAGCGUGUGAGGCUGUAUGCUCUCCUCCCUAUCUACAGCCUUUGUGAGCUGCCCUCUAUGUAUGAUCUCCCUAUCUACUGCCUGUGUCAGCUGCCCCUCCAUGUAUGCUCUCCUCCCUAUCUCCAGCCUGUGUGAGCUGUCCUCCAUGUAUGCUCUCCUCCCUAUCUACUGCCUCUCAGCUUCCCCUCCAUGUAUGCUCUCCUCCCUAUCUACUGCCUGUCAGCUGCCCCUCCAUGUAUGCUCUCCUCCCUGGCUACAACCUGUGGGAGCUGUCCUCCAUGUAUGCUCUCCUCCCUAUCUCCAGCCUGUGUGAGCUGUCCUAUUUGUAUGCUCUCCUCCGUAUCUACAGCCUGUGUAAGCUCCUCCUCUCAUGUAUACUCUGCUUGCUAUCUGCAGCCUGUCUGAGGGUAGCUAAUUGGCACAUUCCUGUCUGCCUGAAGUUUAGUGUGACGUGGAAGGAGUUGAAGGCGUUAUCUAGGAUUCAUAAGACAGCUCCCCGUCUGUCCCCAGGUCGGUGUGGUAUUACAACUUUGCUUUAUUCACUUCAAUGGAACUGAGCUGCAGAACCGCACCCAACCUGGAGACAGACAGGAAGCGGUCUUUGAAAGAAAUUAGUGUUUUUUCAAUUCCUAGAUACCCCCUUUAAGGAGGACAUACCUGUGUGGACGCGCCUUUGUGCCACAUGGUAUAAAGGUGGAGUUCAGUGUCACUUAUGUAGAUGAAACUAAGUGGCACAGAUGUGUAGGUGGAGCUUAGUAUUAUAUUCCUAGGUGGGUGGAGAUCAGUAUCACACGUAGGCGGAGCUUAGUAUUCCUAGGUGGGCGGAAUUUAGGAUCACACGUAGGUGGAGCUCGGUAUGACACCUGUGUGAACGGAGUUUGAUGUCAUGUGUGGGUUGAGCUAUGUGGCACAGAUGUAUGGGCGGAGUUAAUACAUGCCUGUGUGGGCGGAGUUUAGUGUGAUCACAUAAUUGUGUGGAGGGUGAAGUCUUCACUAUUACAUGUACCGUCCAUGAGGGGCGCUCUAUACACCGUAGUCAGCCCCCUUAUAAAGAUGAGGCUGUAAUUAUCAUCAUAAGUUAUAACCUCAGAACGAGAAAAAUCCAUAAAUCACAUUGUCUGAUUAUUAAAGAAUUUAUCUGCAAAUAAUGGUGGAAAAUAAGUAUUUGGUCAAUAAUAAAAGUUCCUCUCAAUACUUUGUUAUAUCCCCUUUGUUGGCAAUGACAGAGGUCACAUGUUUUCUGUCUUCACAAGGUUCUCACACACUGUUGCUGGUAUCUUGGCGCAUUCCUCAAUGCAGAUCUCCUCUAGAGCAGUGAUGUUUUGGGGCUGUCGCUGGGCAACACAGACUUUCAACUUCCUCCAAAGGUUUUCUAUGGGGUUGAGAUCUGAAGACUGGCUAGGCCACUCCAGGACCUUGAAAUGCUUCUUAUGAAGCCACUCCUUCAUUGCCCGGGCGGUGUGUUUGGGAUCAUUGUCAUGCUGAAAGACCCAGCCACGUUUCAUCUUCAAUGCCCUUGCUGAUGGAAGGAGGUUUUCACCCAAAAUCUCACGAUACAUGGCCCCAUUCAUUCUUUUCUUUACACGGAUCAGUCCUCCUGGUCCCUUUGCUGCAAAACAGCUCCAAAGCCUGAUGGUCCCACCCCCAUGCUUCACAGUAGGUAUGGGGUUCUUUGGAUGCAACUCAGCAUUCUUUCUCCUCCAAACACAACGAGUUGAGUUUUUACCAAAAAGUUCUACUUUGGUUUCAUCUGACCAUAUGACAUUCUCCCAAUCCUCUUCUGGAUCAUCCAAAUGUUCUCUAGCACAGUGUUUCCCAA